rnacentral:ncRNA from 1 species
CAAAAUUGGGUUAAAUUAAAAAUUACAUGCAAGUUUAAGUGUAAAUUGCCGAGAGUUUAAAAAGCAGAAAUCAAUGAGAAUUAAAAUCGCAGUAGUAAAUAUUAAACAUUAAUGAAAAUUAGAUUUAGUUAGAUUUUUGGUAUUAACAAAAUUUGUGCCAGCAGUUGCGGUUACACAAAUAAUACUACUUAAUUUUUUCUAGUAUUAAUAAAUUUAUAUGGUAUAAUUUAAGAUUAGAUUUAUUAAGUGAAAUUUUUAAAUUUGAAUAAAAUUAUUAAGAAUUAUUUAAGAAAUUAUGGAUUAAACUAGGAUUAGAUACCCUAUUAUUAAUAAUGUAAAAAGAUUACUAGGUCAGUAUUAGUUAUGUUCUUGAAAAUUAAAAAAUUUGGCGGUAUUUUAGUCUAUUCAGAGGAACCUGUUCUAUAAUCGAUAUUCCACGAUUUAAUUUACUUUUUUUAUAAGUUUGUAUAUCGUUGUAGUUAGAAUAUUUUUGAAGAAUAAAAUAUUCAAGAGUUAUAUGUAUAUAAUAAAUCAGAUCAAGGUAUAGCUUACAAAAAAGAAGAAAUGGGUUACAAUAAUAAUAAUUUAGGAUUUUAUAUUUUAAAUAUAAAUGAAUAUGGAUUUGAGAGUAAUUUUUUUUAAAUUUUAAAAAUGAUUUUAGCUCUAAAAUAUGUACAUAUCGCCCGUCGCUUUCAUUAUAAUGUGAAAUAAGUCGUAACAAAGUAGGCUUACUGGAAAGUGAGCCUAGAAAGGC